UACGUAGGCAGCGAGCGUUGUUCGGAGUUACUGGGCGUAAAGAGUGCGUAGGCGGUUUUCUAAGUUUGGGGUGAAAUCUCCCGGCUUAACUGGGAGGGUACGCCGAAAACUGGAAGGCUUGAGUAUGGGAGAGGUAAGCGGAAUUCCUGGUGUAGCGGUGAAAUGCGUAGAUAUCAGGAGGAACACCUGCGGUGUAGACGGCUUACUGGACCAUAACUGACGCUGAGGCACGAAAGCGUGGGUAGCAAACAGG
rnacentral:rRNA from 1 species